UAAUCUAUCUGAAGUAGAUUAUCAUCUAGUUGUAGCAGACUCACACCUGACCGUUUAAAAUCACUCGUACAUGCUUUCAAAUAUGCUCUUUUCUGGAUAUCAUUCCGAUCCACCAUUGAAGAGGUA
rfam:Populus trichocarpa scaffold_10_contig_274, whole genome shotgun sequence.